rnacentral:rRNA from 1 species
UACGGGGGGGGGCAAGCGUUGUUCGGAAUUACUGGGCGUAAAGGGCUCGUAGGUGGCCGACUAAGUCAGACGUGAAAUCCCUCGGCUUAACCGGGGAACUGCGUCUGAUACUGGAUGGCUUGAGUUCGGGAGAGGGAUGCGGAAUUCCAGGUGUAGCGGUGAAAUGCGUAGAUAUCGGGAGGAACACCGGUGGCGAAGGCGGGUCUCUGGGCCGAUACUGACGCUGAGGAGCGAAAGCGUGGGGAGCGAACAGG